UUGAACGCUGGCGGCAUGCCUUACACAUGCAAGUCGAACGGCAGCACGGGUGCUUGCACCUGGUGGCGAGUGACGAACGGGUGAGUAAUACAUCGGAACAUGUCCUGUAGUGGGGGAUAGCCCGGCGAAAGCCGGAUUAAUACCGCAUACGAUCCACGGAUGAAAGCGGGGGACCUUCGGGCCUCGCGCUAUAGGGUUGGCCGAUGGCUGAUUAGCUAGUUGGUGGGGUAAAGGCCUACCAAGGCGACGAUCAGUAGCUGGUCUGAGAGGACGACCAGCCACACUGGGACUGAGACACGGCCCAGACUCCUACGGGAGGCAGCAGUGGGGAAUUUUGGACAAUGGGCGAAAGCCUGAUCCAGCAAUGCCGCGUGUGUGAAGAAGGCCUUCGGGUUGUAAAGCACUUUUGUCCGGAAAGAAAUCCUUGACUCUAAUACAGUCGGGGGAUGACGGUACCGGAAGAAUAAGCACCGGCUAACUACGUG
rnacentral:rRNA from 1 species